AUUCUGCUGCCUCCCGGGUCUUCAGCAUGAACGUGUCCCCUUCCUGUCCAUCUCUCCUUUGGCCCCCUUCCUCAGGACCUCUCACUGGUUGACUCCCUUCCUUGACCAUCCAUCAGGAGGGCUUCUCUCUGAUGACCGCUCUCCCUACACCCUCUCUAAGUGACGCCAGCAGCUUCCCUGGUCUCACUGAUGUGGAUGCUGUGGAUGCCAGGAUUCGCUCAGUCAUGUCUGACUCUUCGUGACCCCAUGGACUGUAGCCCACCAGACUCCUCUGUCCAUGGGAUUCUCCGGGUGAAUUCUUCAGCACUGAACCACCUGGGAAGCCCCCAUUGUCUUCAUGUAAGUUAGCAAUCUGCAGUGAUGCUGGCUCCAGUGAC